GUCUUUUAGAAUAAAAUUAAAAGUCUAAUCUGCCCAAUGAUUAUUUUAUAUUAAAUGGCCGCAGUAAACUGACUGUGCAAAGGUAGCAUAAUAAUUAGUCUUUUAAUUGAAGGCUUGAAUGAAUGAUUGAAUGAAAAAUUUACUUUAUUAAUUUAAAUUUUAUAAUUUAAUUUUUAGGUUAAAAAGCCUAAAUAAUUAAGUUGGACGAGAAGACCCUAUAGAACUUAAAUAAUGUUAAAUAUUAAUUUAAUAUUAGUACUUUACUUAUAUAAUUUAAAUAAAUAUUUUCAUUUUUAUGUUGGGGUGACAUUAAAAAUUACAUAACUUUAAAUAUAUAAAACAUUAAUAUAUGUAUAUAAUGAUCCAAAUUUAUUAUUUUGAUUAAAAGAAAAAGUUACCUUAGGGAUAACAGCGUCAUUAUUUUUUAGAGUUCAUAUCAAUGAAAUAGUUUGCGACCUCGAUGUUGGAUUAAGAAAAUAAUUUGGAGCAAAAUCUAAAUUUAUAGGUCUGUUCGACCUUUAAAUUCUU
rnacentral:rRNA from 1 species